GGCGGAGUCUUUACAGCCUGCGCUUCAGAUAGACUGUAAACACCAAAACUGGAGAAUCUCACACAGCCAAAAGUGAUUUCUGUAGCUGAACAGAUGGAGGUUGGCUUGGCUGCAGCUGAUGCCAUGCGCAGAACGGAGUAUGAAGCAGGAGCUGAUCCAGAUAUUCUUUAUUGUUGGUUACAACCGAUGUAGCCAGGACCUUCUGCCACUUUAUUUUGUCAGACAGAUCCAUUCAGCUUCUCUCGAGACGGGGCAUGUUUUGUUGGAAUCCUGUUUUCAGUUACAUUUGAGCUUCGGGACUGAGGAGAAUUUUCCUUUGAGCUUCUGGAGGAGCAGAUCCAGCCUGUAUGUAAAAAAGGCUUAUGUAGCCUACAUAUCGCAUCAUCAAGUCUGGGACAAAACAUUUCAUAGAGCACAGAUACAAAAGCAGAUUCAUGUAGCUUGUUACUCUGGACUCCUACUGGAUUGUUUCUCAACUGGGGUUUUUAAAAUAAGACAAAUCUUGUUUCUAAAUAGUCUGAAACAACUAAAAUUAAAACUGAAAACUGACUUUAAUCAUAUUUCUUUAUUCAUUCCAUCAACAACUGUCAUUUUUAUUUUAGAACCAGGUUUCUCACAGU
ensembl:lncRNA